UACGUAGGGUGCGAGCGUUAAUCGGAAUUACUGGGCGUAAAGCGUGCGCAGGCGGUUUUGCAAGUCAGAUGUGAAAGCCCCGGGCUCAACCUGGGAAUUGCAUUUGAAACUACAAGGCUAGAGUGUGUCAGAGGGGGGUAGAAUUCCACGUGUAGCAGUGAAAUGCGUAGAGAUGUGGAGGAAUACCGAUGGCGAAGGCAGCCCCCUGGGAUAACACUGACGCUCAUGCACGAAAGCGCGGGGAGCAAACAGG
rnacentral:rRNA from 1 species